GCAAUCGUAGUUUAAUUGGCUAGAACUAAGCCAACUACAAAAAGUCGCACGUGCGCAAACCAGUCCUGCGUUUUAAGACUCCAUAAGAUCAUAUUAGUAUCGACGCCCUUCGUGCUUCGAUGCAGGAAUGAUAUGGCGCAAGGUAACAUGAAAUGUCGUAUCUUGGCAUGAAUGCAGGUUCGACUCCUGCCGGUUGCA